rnacentral:rRNA from 1 species
CGGACGGGUGAGUAACACGUGGAUAACCUACCUAUAAGACUGGGAUAACUUCGGGAAACCGGAGCUAAUACCGGAUAAUAUUUUGAACCGCAUGGUUCAAAAGUGAAAGACGGUCUUGCUGUCACUUAUAGAUGGAUCCGCGCUGCAUUAGCUAGUUGGUAAGGUAACGGCUUACCAAGGCAACGAUGCAUAGCCACCUGAGAGGGUGAUCGGCCACACUGGAACUGAGACACGGUCCAG